rnacentral:rRNA from 1 species
GUGGGGAAUAUUGCACAAUGGGGGAAACCCUGAUGCAGCGACGCCGCGUGAGUGAAGAAGUAUUUCGGUAUGUAAAGCUCUAUCAGCAGGGAAGAACAUGACGGUACCUGACUAAGAAGCCCCGGCUAACUACGUGCCAGCAGCCGCGGUAAUACGUAGGGGGCAAGCGUUAUCCGGAUUUACUGGGUGUAAAGGGAGCGUAGACGGCAGAGCAAGUCUGAAGUGAAAGCCCGCGGCUCAACUGCGGGACUGCUUUGGAAACUGCCCGGCUAGAGUGCUGGAGAGGUAAGCGGAAUUCCUAGUGUAGCGGUGAAAUGCGUAGAUAUUAGGAGGAACACCAGUGGCGAAGGCGGCUUACUGGACAGUAACUGACGUUGAGGCUCGAAAGCGUGGGGAGCAAACAGGA